ensembl:snRNA U6 U6 spliceosomal RNA
GUGGUCACUUUGGCAGCACUUAUAUUGAAAUGAUACAGAGAAGAUAGCAUGGCCCCUGAGUGAGGAUGACACACAAAUUCAUGAAGCAAGCCAUCAUUAA